UGCCAUCUCCAUGGACUGAGAGGUCGUGAUAGCCCUGCCUUAAAACACUGGCCUUGACUCUCCUGCCUUCCGUUGGGUGAACUCAGUGCAGAUCAUGGAGCAGGUCACGAUGCUCUCAAGUUGGUUCCCUCUGAGCGAGGAGCUCUUGACACAACAGCCGCAGUUUGGCCAGCCACUAAGUCCCACCAGCUGAGGUCCGAGGAAAGCGGGGUGACUCAUUUCCCUUGUCCAGGGCCCGAGGAGAGUGAGGUGUCCAGCCUGCAAAGCUAUUCCAGCUCCUUGGUGUUGGUUUGCAAUAAAUUGGUAUUUAAGCA
rnacentral:lncRNA from 1 species